ACUCUCUUUCGUUCACCUCUCAACAAAGGAGCAGCUUUUCGCACCUUUCCUUCGUCUAAUUGUUUUUUCUUUGUGCAAAUAGAGUUCUUUCUUAGUUCCUUCCCUCCUUCUGAAACUGGGACGGAUGGAUUCUUCUUCGCCGACCCUAACAAACCUACUAAAGAAGGGAGACCCUUCCUCUUCUGCCAACAGGUAAACCGGAACCAGACUGAAUACCACUUGUCGACUUUGUCUUAGGUUAGGUCGAGUCUGCCUCUGACCUCUUCCUUCUUCCUUCUUUCAUUUUCGUACUUCUGACUGAAUGUGAAUGCCGUACUUAGAGUUAUCCCACUUGGGAGUCAACUAAGCUGCCUCAAAGGAGACAGAUGACUCUUUAUGUUAGCGAAAGGGAUCCAUUCUUCGCGCGGACAUGUGAGACAGCUACUACUUCUCAUUCCGAUUCCAUAUCCUCCCCAACUGAGGCUUCCUGUCCGGCUUGCUCUAACUCCGCACCGCGUAGUGGGCUCCUUCGCUCGCUGAGUGAGCACCGACCCUAAAUCCGGUCUGUCUGGCUUCCCCCCUCUGUCUCAACAGGGACAGAUUCCUAUCCUAUGAUAACCUUUCCAGCUCUUCCUACUAAAUCCGGUCUAGCUGCCGCAACGGAGAGAAUACGAGGUCUCAGUCCGUCUCUCAUUGCAAAGCUGCUGCCGACCCCUGUUGAAAACCCUUAAAAAGGAGAUUUCAGCCUCUUUCCGCAACUCUGAUUCAUGAAACUGGGGGAAAGAUUCUCCUUUGCCUUACCUUAACUGAAUAACUCAAGAAGGACCUACUAAGGGCUGGCCUUGCCUUUACGAGCUGCUUUACAGUCGUUCUACCCUCUGAUAGAAUGAGGAGAGAUUCAAGUCUGAGACUGCUGGUCGAGGAGCAAGGGUUCGCUUCCUUCCUCUUGGUCGAGACAAGGGGAUUUCCAAUUCUUUCUGAGUAAAUGCCUAGACCGGUCGAGCAGAAUAGAGCAGAGUCGAGCUCUUGUCCAAUCCGCAUGUCUGUCUUCAAAGAGGAUUCUAUAGGUCCGAGAAAACUGGGCUAUUGCCCAUGGGUCCAAUCAAUUUCGAUUUUCCCGCCUGAGGCCUAUCCAUUAGAGAAUUUGACUUGCGAUCGGAGUCUUAUGACUUGAAGUAGGUUCCGCGGAGUGGGAAAGAAAAGAAAGAGUACCCCCUAGUAAGAGGAAGCGAAGUAGCUGACCUACCUCACUCAAGACUGACCUCAGCCCUAAAGCCCUUGGCUUAUUGCAUAUUUGAGACUCUGAACUUAUAGUCCGGAGGCGGAAUGAAAUAUGCGAAGGCGCAAAGAAUUUGCGAGGCGUAGGAGAAACUUAAGGAUCAAAGAAGAUCCCUGCCUUUCUUUUCUUGCCUGUGAAAAGUCAAUAAAAGAAAAGAAGCUCAUUAACGAGAAUGAAAGAAGAAUUAUUCUUGAAUAACCUGGACUCAAAUCCAAGAAUCCCAGAAAAUGCUAGGGCGAGACUGGUCCGGAGGACUGAUUCAUAAGGCAGUCAUGAAAAAGAUGUAAAAAAACGACUAUUAUCGGUCCGAAGGUUAUGAAAUAACGAGAAAAAAAACAAAGAAAUUCAUGAAUUGAGAAUGAAACCUAUGAAUUUUUGUAAUCAACGACCUUGUAAUCCUUAGCGAAAAUUCAGAAAAAGCUAGGUUUUGGGUAUGGCUGGCAGCAACUUUUCAUUCAAAAUCUUGAAUUUUUUCUCUAUUAUCGUUAAAUAUCAAGAUGAGAAAAAGGACCAUUUUGCAAGAAAAAAGACGGGAAAACGCAAUGAAAGAAUCAAGCCUAUCAAAGAAAUGAACAGACUUUGAUGAGAGUUCUAGUUUCUGGUCCGGAUAAAGAGAGGAGAAAGAAAGUCAAAUGCCUGAUUUUGAACUCUAUUAUCGUAGAGUAGAUAGAGUCUCUAUUUAUGCUAUUUGAGUGGAAAAAGAAGAAAAAAUCCCGGGGUUUUGAAAAAAAGAAGAGACUUUUUCUAUCUCAUUUGCUUAAGACAUACAAGUAGGAGGUUCUUUGAAAGUCGUUAAGAGUCGACCCUCUGAUCUUUUCUUUCUAACUCACCUCUAUGCCUCCGUCCUCCCUCCUAUAUAUUAAGAGUGAUUUCUAGGACGAAUAUGAAUUCAGCCUCGUCUUCUCGGUCAAGCUGCUUUCGCUCCUUUCUCUCUCUUUCUCCAACCUUGCACAAGAUCGACUCAAAAUCAAAGAAUGAUCUCAGAAUGAUCGGCGAAAGGACUGAAUGAGAAUAUAAGAAGGUGCGAAGGAGCGAAAGCGGCUCGACUGAGGUUAGGAAGGUUCAGAGCGAAGGUUCAAUUUCAGGUUCUUUGAAAGUCGACUGAUAAGGAGUCAAUGAACAAGGGCCCUUUCCCUUUCUUUUUUGAAAUAACUCGACUCCAAACAUAAAGGCUCAAAGAAUGAUCGAAGCGACUGAAAGUUAAGGAAUUCUCCCUUCUUUAUCGCCCUUCAAAGACGAAAUAACUCGACUCCAAACAAUAGGGUGCGAAGGUACUCGUAGUUUUAGAUAUAGGGAAGGCGCAAAGAAUUUGUGGAGUUGAACUCGAGUGAGGUUAGGAAGGCGGAGUAGGAGAUUGAUUCUUUGCUCCUUCAAAGGAGUGCAACUCAGAACCAUUAGAUUUAGAGGACUCAUGAAAUUCCACUAACCCGUCAUCUGGACCUUUGUUUUUGGACCACUCAAAAUCCUUUAUCUUUUUCUUGUUUUUCUUCUCUUAGAAACUGUACUAAUCGCAGAGCUUUAUCAACUCAUAUAAUAUAUAUAUUGAUAAACGACUGAUUCUAUAUUUAUAUACUGAAUAGUGAAUAUCUUUUUCUGACUUUCGCACUUUCGCAGGAGCGCAAGAUAGAAAAGAUGUAGCAUCAAAGUGCAAAAGAAAAGAGGGGAGAGAGAAUGAGAUCUUGUUCGUAAAGCUAGAGGAAGAGUUCCGGAUCGAGCAUAUUCACACCUCAUCAGUCCAAGAAGGAAACCGAGAGAGCUGCUCAGCUCUGAAAUUGAAUAAGAGGUCAAAUUCUCUCUUUCGGAAAGCUAGAACUCAGAUAGAGACUAGCCUCAAGCGCGGACUCAGAAUCAAUCCUAGGGCUAGGAUCGAUAUAAAGCUGCUUUACCUUAUCGGAAAUAAAGGGAAGAUCAUUCAUCUUCCUUAUAGGGUGGUAUCUCAGAAUAGAUUCUAAGAAAUCAGAAAUGAUAGAUCACGUUCGGGGAAUCUGUCUUUUUCGUCCGACCCCACUCAAUCAUCAGAGUUCUCACUGGAGGGUAGUCCAACUAAGAUAGCUGACUCUGGAAGUCAUUCCCCGUUAUAGUAAGGUCCCGCUAUUUCAUCCCUCUCCCUCUCGUUCUACAAUCUCCUCUGAAUUUCUUUCAUCGAUCCUCUCUCUCGACUUCGUUCACUCCUAUCCUUCUAUUAGCUGAGAACCUCUUUCGAAGUAGGUCUCGCCCUUUGUCCUCAACUGAGCCUUCCCUUGCUUGAUCUUCCCCGCACCCUGACCGGGGGCUCAUUCUGAAUCUCAUACUCGUAUUCAUAUGCUUAGUUGGAUCGCGAUCAUUAUCACAGUGGAAAGAUAACUGAUAAGAGAAUGGAGGAAUCAGGCUCGCUCAUACGGAGAGCUUUCGCACCGAUAAGUCAAGCUUCAAGUCCUUUUCUUCUCUCCCGCAGCAGGAUUCCAAGAACGGAGAUCCUAUCCUCAACUCUCGCGCCUUCUGUUCUUCAAUCCAAUCCGAGCCUCGUCCUUGAGAUAAGAUAGUUCCACCCGCAAUCAAUGAACAAGGGGGAUGGGAUGACCUGUCGGGAGUAGCUCUUCUUCUUCUUUUUUUUUGAUUUCUUCUUCUUAUUAUUAGAAAAAUAGAAGGAUCUCCAUCCACGAGGUUGUAAGCUUCUGGUACGAAUCGCUAUGUAAUAAUAGGGUAAACCGGGCUCAGAACCGUACUGGAACGGAAGGCCCAGAGGUCAGGAUCGGUAUGAGCUAACCCAGUAGUUUAUCUUAUUUCAUUCUU